rnacentral:rRNA from 1 species
AUUGGAAUGAUGGUGAUGUACAACCUCACCAGAGUACCAAUUGGAGGGCAAGUCUGGUGCCAGCAGCCGCGGUAAUUCCAGCUCCAAUAGCGUAUAUUAAACUUGUUGCAGUUAAAAAGCUCGUAGUUGUAUUUCAGCCUCGCGUUUUUUCCCUUUUGUUGGGUCUUUUCGCUGGCUUUUUUUUUACUUUGAGAAAAUUAGAGUGUUUCAAGCAGACUUUUGUCUUGAAUACUUCAGCAUGGAAUAAUAGAGUAGGACCUUGGUUCUAUUUUGUUGGUUUUGAGCCUUGGUAAUGGUUAAUAGGAACGGUUGGGGGCAUUCGUAUUUAACUGUCAGAGGUGAAAUUCUUAGAUUUGUUAAAGACGAACCACUGCGAAAGCAUUUGCCAAGGACGUUUUCAUUAAUCAAGAACGAAAGUUAGGGGAUCGAAGACGAUCAGAUACCGUCGUAGUCCUAACCA